UACGUAGGGCGCAAGCGUUGUCCGGAAUUAUUGGGCGUAAAGAGCUCGUAGGCGGCUUGUCACGUCGGGUGUGAAAGCCCGGGGCUUAACCCCGGGUCUGCAUUCGAUACGGGCUGGCUAGAGUGUGGUAGGGGAGAUCGGAAUUCCUGGUGUAGCGGUGAAAUGCGCAGAUAUCUGGAGGAAUACCGGUGGCGAAGGCGGCAUCCUGGACCGAGAUUGACGCUGAACGGCGAAAGCUAGGGGAGCGAAACAGG
rnacentral:rRNA from 1 species